AGCGAACGCUGGCGGCAGGCUUAACACAUGCAAGUCGAGCGGGCAUAGCAAUAUGUCAGCGGCAGACGGGUGAGUAACGCGUGGGAACGUACCUUUUGGUUCGGAACAACUGAGGGAAACUUCAGCUAAUACCGGAUAAGCCCUUACGGGGAAAGAUUUAUCGCCGAAAGAUCGGCCCGCGUCUGAUUAGCUAGUUGGUGAGGUAAUGGCUCACCAAGGCGACGAUCAGUAGCUGGUCUGAGAGGAUGAUCAGCCACAUUGGGACUGAGACACGGCCCAAACUCCUACGGGAGGCAGCAGUGGAGAAUAUUGGACAAUGGGCGCAAGCCUGAUCCAGCCAUGCCGCGUGAGUGAUGAAGGCCCUAGGGUUGUAAAGCUCUUUUGUGCGAGAAGAUAAUGACGGUACCGCAAGAAUAAGCCCCGGCUAACUUCGUGCCAGCCGCCGCCGUAA
rnacentral:rRNA from 1 species